GAGUUUGAUCUUGGCUCAGAACGAACGCUGGCGGCAGGCCUAACACAUGCAAGUCGAGCGCCCCGCAAGGGGAGCGGCGCACGGGUGAGUAACGCGUGGGAACAUGCCCAGAGGUCGGGAAUAACGGCGGGAAACUGCCGCUAAUACCCGGUAAGCCUUGAGAGGGAAAGGAGCAAUCCGCCUUUGGAGUGGCCCGCGUUGGAUUAGCUAGUUGGUGGGGUAAAAGCCUACCAAGGCGACGAUCCAUAGCUGGUCUGAGAGGAUGAUCAGCCACACUGGGACUGAGACACGGCCCAGACUCCUACGGGAGGCAGCAGUGGGGAAUAUUGGACAAUGGGGGAAACCCUGAUCCAGCCAUGCCGCGUGAGUGAAGAAGGCCCUAGGGUUGUAAAGCUCUUUCGACGGGGACGAUGAUGACGGUACCCGUAGGAGAAGCCCCGGCUAACUUCGUGCCAGCAGCCGCCGUAAC
rnacentral:rRNA from 1 species